AAAGAUGGACAUGCAAUCGCUUUAUGCUGUAGUUGUUUAAUACAGACUUAAAGAGGAAAGUCCGAACUUUAACUAUGUAUCAUUUAUUUAUGCAUAGUAAACGGUAGCAGGUAAUCCCUGUCGCUUGUGAAAGUAGAGGUGCGAACAGAGACGCUUUUUGCAGAAAUGUAAAAAGUAUCCUUACAACAGGAUAAGUUUUGCAGUAAUGCAAAAUAUGAAACGGCUAAAUCCUUACCGGAAAGCAAGGCUGAAGGUGGGCCGCUUGAUCGUUAAAAGUAAUUUUAACGGCAGAAAAAUGAUUGCACUUUUAAUUUAUUAAAAGACAGAAUUCGGUGUACAGUUCAUCUUUAUUA
rnacentral:RNase_P_RNA from 1 species